GUAAAAGUCGUAACAAGGUUUUGUUCUCGAGUAACGAGGAUGGAUAUUGAUCCUUCCGCGGUGACACUCACAGAAGCCUUUGCAGCCUCGCAAGACGGUCUGGCGCGACAGUAAAGAAUGCCUGGAUGCAAGCCAGCAACGCUGGCAACACUUUCGAAUUGCGGGGACGUCCUUAGAGCUCAGUUCUACCAACCAGUGAGGGAAACUUCUGCUGGGGCCUAUGCUAAUGACAUGGGAGAUGGUAAGAAGGACUGAGAUUGGAUAAUCCGCAGCCAAGCCUAAGGUGUGAAAGCACUAUGGGACAGGUUCACAGACUAAGUGGAAGUGGGUGGCAUGCGCUAAGGCGUGUGCUGCUUAAGGUAUAGUCGGUCUUGGCUGAGAAAUCAUCAAGGAGUCACUGCACAAACUUCAUACCAACAACAACCAUGGCUUCCACAUGUUGGAAAUCUGAAUGCUGCUCAGCUGCUGAGUACAGUCCAACAGAUUCUCAACUAGAAGAGUUUGCUGAUGUCAACGAACAUCUGACUGCCGCCGAAGUACGGAACUUACGAAGCAACCUUCAGUGGCCAGGAAAGCCAGUCUUCAGACCGUACGGCGGCACCAAAGAUGGAGAGUACAGUCAAGUCAGAUUCUGCGGCACCAAGUAUGCUGUUCAUCGAGUAACCUAUGCGCGCUAUAAAGGCGUUGGCUAUCUUGAUGAUACCAUGGAUGUCUCUCAUGUGUCUAUCGGUGGUCGAAAGACUACCCACAACAUCAAUCCCUAUCAUCUACACACUGUGCGCAAUGCUCUCAACAAGACGCGACACGCCUGCCACAGGUUUCUGGAGUAUCGAUGUCGAGAGCGCUAUUUGCGGCGAAGUACUGGCGAGGAAACUACAUCUCUGACGCAAUUCAACACUGGAUGCGAAUGGAUAAUGUUACUUGUGCUAGACGUCAUUCGGAGAAGCGAUGUAAGGUGCAUUGGGGUCUCUGGCAAGGAGACUAUGAGAGGUUUGUUACUGACGGAGGUGAUGGGUCCCUUGCUGCUGUGUGCUUCCGAGCAGAUGACCAGCAUGUUGAGCCAUCCAGUGCUUUUCUCGAAGAGUCUAGCAGUCAGCAUGAUUGAAGUUUGAAUUAGAAGAUUGAACGUUCCGUAGGUGAACCUGCGGAAGGAUC
rnacentral:ncRNA from 1 species